rnacentral:ncRNA from 2 species
UUCUUAUCAAGAGUAGUGGAGGGACUGGUCCUAUGAUACUCGGCAACCUGAAUAUUUUUAUAUAUUCAAUGGUGCUAAUUCCAGCAGGUUAAACCUGAAAGAUGAGAG